rnacentral:rRNA from 1 species
AGUGAACGCUGGCGGUAGGCCUAACACAUGCAAGUCGAACGGCAGCACAGUAAGAGCUUGCUCUUACGGGUGGCGAGUGGCGGACGGGUGAGGAAUACAUCGGAAUCUACUUUUUCGUGGGGGAUAACGUAGGGAAACUUACGCUAAUACCGCAUACGACCUACGGGUGAAAGCAGGGGAUCUUCGGACCUUGCGCGAUUGAAUGAGCCGAUGUCGGAUUAGCUAGUUGGCGGGGUAAAGGCCCACCAAGGCGACGAUCCGUAGCUUGUCUGAGAGGAUGAUCAGCCACACUGGAACUGAGACACGGUCCAGACUCCUACGGGAGGCAGCAGUGGGGAAUAUUGGACAAUGGGCGCAAGCCUGAUCCAGCCAUACCGCGUGGGUGAAGAAGGCCUUCGGGUCGUAAAGCCCUUUUGUUGGGAAAGAAAAGCAGCAGGUUAAUACCCCGCUGUUCUGACGGUACCCAAAGAAUAAGCACCGGCUAACUUCGUG